CACUUCUCUCCCUCGCCAUCCAGAGAGGGAAUGGACAGAGGCAGCUGUCACUUAACAUGUGAAUGUUCCGAGGGCGGCCCAGGGGUCUUUAGAAAACUCUCCUUUUUUUGCCCCCCACCCAUUCCAUUUUUCAAGCAGAAGCAGCAUGGAGUUUCUGAGCCACAGUCAGACCCAGAGGAGGGGCUUUGUUGGAUGAGAAGGGGGAGAGAGUGAGAGAAAAAGCCUGGAGAAGGUAAAGGGGGCACUUUGCCGCCUCGCUGCCUGGUACAGGAGCAACCUGAACAGCAGCAGCGCUGGUGAGAAUGCCACCGCCUUCCUGUUAAAUGGAACCGGCUCAAUCUGACCUCAAUGUGAAAACUGCACUUGGCUGGGAACUGUGGGAGUUCAACUGAGCCGUUGGAAUACAUUGUCUCCAUCUGGGCGCACUAUCCCAUCGGCUGCAUUAACAAGGAAGGAAUUCCUCUAUCACAGCUCCCACAACAAAGAAGAAAGGGAGAGGAGCAGAGCUGGUGGGAGGAGAAGUGAAGUAAGGGGAGGGGAGGGGUGCACUGCGAGGGGAGAGGAGGACAUUGUUUGCCUGUGUCUGUGGGCAACGGAAAAGCAUGAGUUAUCAGGGCAUGUGUGAGUGUGUUUAGAAAGUGUGUUUGUAUGUGUAAAUGAGUGUACUGGAUUGAGGUUUGUGGACGGAGUAUGCAUGUGUAUGUGUGGGGUGUUCAUGUUUGGGAUGUUGGAGCCGGGAGGCCAUUCAAAGGAUGCUCAAACAAAGCUGGAUUUUUUUUUUUCUCUCUCCUUUUUGAAUGGUGAUUGAGGACUGGCUGGAUUCCUUUACUCAGGCUGUUUGGUUCAACUGUGCUUCAGGGAGACCGCUGGGCAGUGAUCUGAGCUAACUGGGUAAUCAUUGAUCUUGAGGCUGGGGCUUUGUCUGGGCACUACUCUCUGAUCCGACUGUGUUCUCCCCUGUGGAUCCAUUGACUGCAUCAUCUGCUCUGCAGAGACAUACAUGAUGUAGAUCUUUAGCAUGACCUGAGGUGACCUGUGUAAUUCUGAAUGGAGCAGUCCAACCCUGCCUCAGAAGGAGGACCCGGCCUUGACAGGAACCCUCCCUGUGAUCUCCUGAUGGGCUCACCUCAGCUCCUCUAGACCAAGAUAAUUGCAUUCACCUUUAACCCUUCUGUCAAAACAAUGAAGGCACUGAGCUGAGGGGGCUGACAAAGUUUGAAAUUGUCACUGCCAAUGAGUCUUUUCAGUAAUCUACUAAUUUUGGUCAAACAAUAUGUUGAUGACAUCAUGGUUGGAUUCAAAAGCGUAAUAUAGUGAUGUAGUAGUGAGAGGAAAGCCCUGUAUCCUACAAGCUCUACUUUGUAAUCAUUAUGAAAUAGCAUUUAUUUGAGCUUUUCUCCAUAAAAACACCAUCAGUUUAAACUGCACACUAAGGUAUACUGUUGAUUGCUGCUGUUUUCCUAACUACCCCCCACUGCCCCCAUGCCCUGAGAAAUGAGGCGAUGUCUGCCUUUUUAUGGCUGUCAUAUUUGAUCAGAUCCUUAACGGGUUUCCCAGGGCUGGUCCAGGCCGAGAUAGAGAAAGAGCUGGCUGUUUGCCACUGGUUCAGCGUGCCAGGCUCAACAGUGGGAUCCUCGACAAGCCUGUCACAUUGAUUUCUAAGCCCAGAAUAUUUCAGUUGGUGAUGUGAGAUAGAUGGGGAGCAUGUGUGUAUGUGGUCUAAAGGAAGACAAAGGGACAGGGAAUAUCCAGGCCAAGUAUCUCUGCUGUAGUUCCCGCUGGUGUUUCAGUGCCAAGAAAAGGGCAACAUCACACAAAAACUUAGCAAAUAAAGGAUGUGAGAGACAAUGUAAGCUGUGGCAAAAAUACUUAAAAAAAAAAAAGAAGAUCAGUGGUAUAAUUUUAUGAUGUUUUACAACACUUUUUCACUGCAUGAUGACCCAGAGCCCCCUUGU